rnacentral:rRNA from 1 species
UAUCUCUGUAGAGUCUGCAUAUCAAUAAGCGGAGGAAAAGAAACUAACUAGGAUUCCCUCUAGUAACGGCGAGUGGAGCGGGAAGAGCUCAAAUUUGAAAUCUUCAAGGUUCUACCUUGACGAAUUGUAGUUUAAAGAAGUGUUUUCUGUUGGAGUUUUGGUAAAAGUUCUUUGGAAUAGGACAUCAUAGAGGGUGAGAAUCCCGUAUUUGACCAUUACUUUCCAGCGUUGUGAUACACUUUCAAAGAGUCGGAUUGUUUGGGAAUGCAGUCCAAAAUGGGUGGUAAAUUUCAUCUAAAGCUAAAUACUGGCGAGAGACCGAUAGCGAACAAGUACCGUGAGGGAAAGAUGAAAAGUAACUUUGAAAAGAGAGUUAAACAGUACGUGAAAUUGUCAAAAGGGAAGCGUUUGACACCAGUGUUGUUUUCUCGAAAAUCAAUUAAAAAAGGCAGGAUUUUGUGUUGUAUUGACUUUAUCAGCUUUCUGCACUCUUUUCUUGUCUUUUUUAAUGCACUUUUCGUUUAACAAGUCAACAUCAAUUUCUUUUGUUGUAAAAGGGUCAUUGGAAGGUGGCUUUCUUUUCGGAGAAAGUGUUUAUAGCCUUUGGCCUCUGCAAUCGGAGAGAUUGAGGUCUGCAGCGUAGAUCCUUCGGGGUUAGAUACAUUUGUGCUAAGUUAUAGCCUUUCAUAGACAACUUGUUGACUAUGAUCAGUCAUGUAGCUUACUCGCUUAUGCUAUUUUACCUACGCUUAGGAUGUUGAUAGUCACAGCGUGUAC